GGAAUGGAUGUUUGUGUCUGUGUGUGCCUGUAUGUCUGUGUCUAUAUGUCAGGUUGGGUAUCAGACGCCACCUCUCUGGAGACAUCUCGGGCCUUCCAAGGUUUGGAGGCCUAUCUCCACCCACCACCACUUCCCCUGCCGGUGGCGGACUCCCUCAGGUGUCGGUGCGUUGGUGGUUCUUUGUAUCUGGGGGUGGGCGUCCGGGUACACACCGGCUCACUCCUUGGCGGCCGCUUAUUGGGGCUCGCUCGGGCCAUUUCGGAGGUGGGGUGCCCCCGGCCUCUCGGCCUGGGGCUCGGUCACUCAGGCACAGCUGGCUGCCGG
ensembl:lncRNA